rnacentral:lncRNA from 1 species
AUGAUUGUUUGUGUUCACUUUUCCCCACAGGGUUACCUCUCCGUUGGUUUUGAUAAACGUUGAGUUUUUCUCAUUCGUCCGUUGACGUCUGGUCGAGUCUUCUCCUUCUCCGUUGGUGUCGAUAAACGUCGAGCUUCUCCCGUUCGUCUGUUGACGUCUGGUCGAGUCUUUCCCAUUCAUCCGUUGAUGUCUGGUCUCCUUCUCCGUUGGUGUCGAUAAAC